CUCGAGCAGCAUUUGACGCGCCACAAAAUACGUGAACGCGCCUGCAGCGCGGGCACGGGCGUGCUGCGCUGCAAAUCAAAUCUUGCCACGCUCGAGCAUGCGUUGACAGGUUGACGCAAUGUUAACAGAGUUGCUAUUGGCCGAAAAUUAAAGCAGGGGGAGGGCUGAACACAAUGCGCCUGUUUAAUUGGCUUUUAUUUAGUUAUUUAGGUGCGAGAUGUGAAGGUAAAGCCUGAGGGAGUUUGACGUAAUGUAAAAGCCGAGUGUUCAUUGAUUUAACGUUACGCCGACGGGAGUAAUGACGACCGGCCCAACAAUUUUUACCGGUAUGUUUAUGUUGCAACAACAAGCUCUUCACGGACCCCUUGGCAACGCGCCGCGGACCCCCGGGGGUCCGGGGACCCCACUUUGAGAACCGAGGCUAUAGGUAACCGCGGAGAGAACCGGGCUUAAGCCCGGGGCUUGAAGCUCACGAUAUUGUCCCUCACACGCGUUAGAUACAAUUCCCUCCCUUAGGCUUCAUAGUUACCAUACCGAAACAUGCCUACUUUAACAAAUAAAGUGAGUUAAAAGCGACCAAGGAUUGGACCACUUUCUUCCAGAAAUAACGCAAGAGCCACAAAAACAAGUGUAAUUCCCGCACAUAGCCACAAGAGGUCAGCACCAAGCCACAAACCAAGUUGCAAUGCCAACGCAUAGCCGCAAGUACUUCAUGAAAGGUUAGAAUUUCAAAUUGAGUGGCCAGAGCGACAUGUACUUCAAGCUACAAUGCCAAUGGGAUUCAGACAGUCAUUUGGACGUAGAGUGGCUGUGAUAAUUGACUGUUUCAAAGUUUUUAUUGAGAGGCCCUCUAAUUUACUUGCCCAAGCACAGACAUGGUUGAACUACAAGCAUCACCAUACUGUAACAUUUCUGAUUGGUGUUGCAUCCCAAGGCUAUGUCACUUACAUAUCUUGUGCCUAGGGAGUGUCAAUGAUAAACAGAUCACAAUAGAGGAGUGGCAUUAAAAACCUGUUGCCUGGGGAUGUUGUCCUAGCAGACCGUGGGUUUAAUAUUGGUGAUAGUGUUGGAUUUUACUGUGCUUCUCUACAGAUCAUUGGCCGGGUCUUCCUUCUCCCGUAUCGACCCCAGUUGUAGGGCGUGCGAGUGUUUUCCUCCUCUACCUGUUGCAGCGGGGAGCGAUCAGCUGAUUGAUCGAGUUGCACUUGUAAUUGUGCUGUUCGGUACAAGUGAUCCCCUUCCUCCCCUUUGAUGUUCAUUCAACUCCUGACGACACAGUGAGAAAGAUCCCUCAUCCUCACCCCUGCAAUAUCGAUUGUGGAGGUAGUCAUGAACAUUUAAAAACCUCUGUGACAAAGACCACUUUGCCAGUGCGCACCAUGGUCCCAGAAUGCCAGCCCCAUCCUCACCCCUGCAUCUCACCCAUCAACCUCCGCCUGCUUCCCACCCGAUGUAAAUGUUGUUUGGAUGUUUGAUACCUACUUUGCCUUUUUUUUUUCAGUUUCAUUUAGUCUUUUAACAAUUUUGGACCAGAGCCGUUCAUGUGCAUACGAGCAGUGGGCUUGCCGCAGGCUUGGAGAAAAUUAUUUCAAUAAUCAAGUCAUUGAAAAUGUAAAUGCAGGGCUAAACUGGGAACAGGUACAAAUAGGUUUAUAUAGUGUAGCUAUGUGUCUGUAUUAAGGUACCUUGAAAGGCCUCAUAGGUUUCUCCCCCGAUGGUGGAGGAUUCACAUGGAGUAACUGCAGAGCAAAUGCAAAGAACAAUAAGUGAUGUAGGCUAGGUAGCCUAGCUCUGAAUAAUUGCCAACAAACUAGUUUGACCAACUAACAAACUAUUACUAUUAUGUGGUUAGAUUCCAGCAGCUGAUACACCAGCCAUGCCUUCAUCAUCGACCCUGACAGGUGUGAUGAUAGGUGGUGAAGGGACUGCAAAACAACAAAAAGAAACAGUUGGCAAACAGAAUUAACAACUUCUUUGUUUUUCAACCAUAGCUACUAUUGCAAAUACUUACACGCAGGCCCUCUUGGCAACACUCCAGGUUUUAUUGU